CAGCUGAGUUUCCCAUGUCCAGGAAAGAGAACACUGCAAGGACAGCUCUUCGCACGAAGAAUAGCGAACGCGUCUUAAACCCUCGUUGCCUGACUGACAGUCGAUAAUGAUAUACUGCACCCUACAAUACCAUGAGUAAAUCUCAUUCACAUAUGAAACACGGAGAUUUUGAAAAGGGGCGGGAAACAUCACCUUCGAUCACGUAAUUUUUGAAGAGUUGCAAAACGUAUCUGCAAGAGAAAGAAUUAGAAUUUAUUUUGAAUAAUUUAAAGAAAUCUCACAGUAUUGUAAGCGGUAAGAUUUAAAAUUAUAAUGGUUGUACUGUAUUACGGGGUAGAACGGGUACAAGCUCAGAAAAGUAGAAGAUUGGGCUUUACACUGCGUAGAAUGCUCCUUAUAAAAGAAAAUUCUUUCACUCUUUUCUUGCAGGAUAUUAGUUGACACCCGAAGAAUAUUAAUGGGUGGCUGAAGAUCGAUGACCAACGAAUAACGCGUAUGGCGAGAAAAGGAAUAUACGAAGUUUACGACGGGGCAAAAAGCGACACCGCAUUCUCAUUCGUCGCGCUACAAUCGAUAAGGGGUCUCUUUUGCACGAGGCUUGCAUAUAGAACGAGUCCUAACUGUACCAGACGUAUGUACAGACAAGAAUAGAAGAAGAGAAAAAUUAAUCUCCCUUGGGACUAGUCUCCAAUCGGAUUUAUAGUGGCUCGCAAAAGUAUUUGAACACAUACUAUAAAAAACUUUAAUAUACAAUAACGGACAAGAGAAAGUUUAUGAAAUAAGGAAUAUAAAAAGACACCAUAAUUUUACAAAAUGGAUUUAUAUUUAAUAAGAACAACCGAUAAAUAUUAUAUAUAUAUCAUAAAAUAGACGAUUAUUACUUAUAUGGUAAACAAAUUUUUAUAUGAAAUUCAUAGCAUAUCAAUUUUUAACUUUCUGCUGUCCAUCACUGUGUAUGAAUAUUGUAGAUAUGUUUUACAUUUUCAAAUAACGAGUCACGACUACUGUGAUUAUUAUAUAUAUGAUCAAAUAUGUAAAUAACCCGAAAAUUUUUUAUAUAGAAAUUAAAAAAUUACUUAGUGCGAGUAAGAAACAUGUUUUAAUAAAAUUUAAGUAAAGAAGAAACUUCUUUAUAUAAUGGAUAUAAUGGAAUGUAAGUGAAACGUGUCAUGUUUCGUAUUCAAAAUUUUCCAUGACAAAAAAGUGAUUUGUGCCGGAUGCAAGCACGCUAUCGCUUUUUCAUUCGCGGAACGAUUCACACGGUGUAAGAAUGCAAGACUCGAAUGCGUGUCGUUCCCAUUGUAUGCGGAUCUUAUGUUUGUAUUUGCUGCAUGUGUAUGUGUAUAUAUGCUCAUUAUAAGAGAAGAGGAUUCUCCUGCAGAAUAUCGUCUGCAGGGGUCGAACAAAAACUAUGCUGGACUUUACAAAAAACUUAUAGAAAUUCCAUUAACAUGAAAAUAUAGCCUUGCAUUCUUAUACUAAUACUAAUACUAAUACUAAUACUAAUUGAAUUAAAAUAAUUAUACUUAUGAUACACUUGAGAUUUUAUAGUGAGACAUCUAUAUGAAAAUGAAUGUACUAGCAUGUGCAGCGAUAAUACAAUGUAUAGGUAAGGAUAACUGGCUGAAAUAUUCGAACCAUCAUCUUCGAAAUGACUUUGACAAGCCAAAAAUUGUAGUAUACAACGCAAGUGGGGAAACGUACUGGGUGGUACGUUUCCAUUAUCCGGUGACCUCGAUACAUGAAUAAUGACUCGAGUGUUCAACUUGCGUAAUAAGAAACACGUACUCUCUGCCUAUUGCAUCUGAAAAUAGAAUUCAACGAAUGGGGAUGAACCAAACGCAAGUUUUACCACAUGGGAGAAAACCAAACCGAGUAAUGCUCACAUUUCAUCCGUUUAAACCCUCGCAAGACACACGUGCUAUUUACGUAACACUUCAAAGAGGAAAAAACGCUCCUUUCCAGAAGCGUGUUAAUUUAAUUAAGCAAAUCAACACACCGAAAACAAGUCAAAAUAUCUUGUGUAUCAAUAUUUAUUUCCUCAAAAUCUGCAUUAAAAUAUUGGACUUCGGCUUUCAUCAUUGUACAUGAAGGAUCCAAAUAUUGUAUCAGUUGUUUGUGCAUUUUGUUCCAAUGCAAAACAAGAAAUUCCUCGCUAAACUAACAUAACAUCGCAAUAUUAUUCUUUUUGAAAGUAUCAUAUUACUUAAGUUAUAUAAACCUAUAACUGAGGAAUUGGCUAAUAGAAGUUGUGCAAGAAUCACGAUAUUCGGGAAAUUUUUUGUGAAAUAUUUUGAAUUCGAUUACACAUAUGUACACGAAUAGACCAUGAAUCAGCUGUUGAAAAAUUUAGUAUAGGAACAAAUAAAACACAAAGCGGAAGAAGCGAUUAGAGUUACACCCAAAGUUCGUACACGCUAACCCGUGAACGAAUGCACUUCAAAAAAGAUCACAUGAUAUAUUUCCGGCUUGCUACUUCCGCUAUUCACAGAGAAGCAUGUGUAACCACUUUAAAGCGGCCACGGCAACCAGCGGACCAAAAAGUCUUAACCUCUUCGUUUCACCUGCUUUCAAUGAAACAAUUUUAGCAAAAUUUGUACAUCAUAUUAUACAAGAUGAAAACAACUGUUUACAACAAGAUGAAAACAACAAGAAAUAUUAAAUUGGACAACAUGAUUAUAAAAAUCGGAACAUGUUUGUUAUGGAAGAAAAAGAAGAAAAUGUUAAGGCUUUUCUAUACCUUGAGGGUUUAACCAUAAUUUUUUUUACUAUCUCGGCAACAACCUCGAUAUCACUGUUUUAUUGUGACUGUGUCGUCACAAAUGCAGGAUGAAAUUGCGAUAGUCACGCAACUAGCGUCUUCAUCAUUGGAAAGGCUCUCAAGAGAGAUUGACUUGUUCUGGACCAAUUUGCGUUAUGAUGAUUACCUGGCUGUAUACGUGUAACGAUUGACGUCCAAUCUUUUCUUUAACAGAAGUGAUAAUUUAACAAGUUAUGUCUUAGGAGAAACAACUUUUGAGAAAGGUAUUACAUUAUACAGAACCCGACAAAAAAGGAUCGAUGAAGAAAACUAAAUGCAAUAAGAUACAACGAGUUUAAACGUAAUCAAACUUCGGAGAACUUAAAUUUCGAAAGAUUCUACACAUUUAAAUUUAAAAUCCUAGAGUAUUAGAUUUCAUAAAAAGGAAACCUGAAGGGAAUGCGUCGCUCGUGAUAUAAAUUAUUAAUUGUUUGUAGCAAUAUUGUGCUUUCCGCCUUCCUUCGAAAGAAUGUUUAUUGCACCGUGAAAGGCCGCUCAGUGACAUUCGAGCCUCGUUCGCAUGUAUCAUACCUGUUCUGAUCUCUGAUUUCGUUAAUCAACAAGCGUUACGUCUGUGUUAUUCAACAUGAAAGCAAAAAUAGUAAAGUCAUCUUAUUACUAAAUAUUUGCUCACAAAAACAUUUCUCUGUCAAGAAUUUUCGUAAGAGACGUGUAUCUAUAAUUAACAUAAUGUAUAGAAUUCCUAAGAGAAAGUUUCUCUUCUAGCAGGUUUUAUACAUUAGGAUAUUUUACUUAUUAUUAAUAUGGUAAAGGGAGAUAUGGGAAUUUCAAGAAUCUGUUACUAUAUAGAACCUUCUAGGUACAAUUUCGAAGUAUCUAAUCUCUUCCUAAUACCUUCAAUAAUAAUUUCUAGAGAUCCGAUAUGAGAUAUCCUGCGAGUUAAUAGACAUGGGCUUAAAUACAUCCAAGGUUUUUUAACUUUUUGUGAAAUUAGUCAGCAGAGAAAGUACAACCUGCUAGGAUAUCUAAUAGUGUGAAUCAUACGGUGUAUGAUAAACCAAUAAGACUCAGUGUAAGUUCUUAAAGUACAUUUUAAACAAAUAAAUUAAACAUGAACUCUGUUGCACAUGUUUUACUACACAUACCUGAACUUUUAUCAGGUUUAUAAACUUUUGCACUCUAUUUUAAAAUAUAUCACCAUAUUUUUAUACACAUAAAAAAUUGAAUGUUUUUUGUUAUAAUGACGAUAAAGCAGGAAUCGAUUAAGUUGAAGCUUACAUUUCUUAGAAUGUUUAAUUUUUGUAUUUGAUUUUAAAUAGCAGAAAAUAAUAAUAGCAAAAACAAGCAACAUCCUAAGAACAACAGGAGGAUAUGAUUAAACAAUGGUAUCUUAGCCUCCAAUUAAUGAUAAAUUAAAUUUAACAAAAGGUACACUGUUAUUUGAAAGUCAAUUCUUAGAGAGGAUUAUAUUUUUAUCUAUGUUGAUAGGAGAUAAGUAGACAAAUUUCACGGAAAUAUAAAAGAACAACGGAAGAAAUUAACAAGUAGAGAUUUAUGAAUUAAAUAAAGAAAGUGGUUGUG